GACGAACGCUGGCGGCGCGCUUAACACAUGCAAGUCGAACGGAAAGGCCUGCUUUCCCUUGUGGAUUGCGGGUACUCGAGUGGCGAACGGGUGAGUAACACGUGAGUGAUCUGCCCCCAACUUGCGUAUAAGCCUGGGAAACUGGGUCUAAUUCCCGAUAGGACUGCAGGGUGGUGCCGUUGGUGGAAAACGAGUUUCUAGUGGUUGGGGAUGAGCUCGCGGUCUAUCAGCUUGUUGGUGAGGUAAUGGCCUACCAAGGCAACGACGGGUAGCCGACCUGGGAGUGUGAGCGGCCACACUGGAACUGAGACACGGUCCCGACCCCGACGGGUGGCAGCAGCAGGGAUGCGUCCGCAAUGGGAGAAGGCCUGACGGUGCAACGCCGCGGGAGUGAGGAAGGUCUUCGGAUCGUAGAACUCUGUUAUUAGGGAAGAACAGAAGUGUAAGUAAUUGGGCACAUCUUGACGGUACUGAAACAGAAAGCCACGGCUAACUACGUG
rnacentral:rRNA from 1 species